GCCCCCAUAGCUCAGUUGGAAGAGCACCUGACUCUUAAUCAGGGUGUCCCAGGUUCGAGCCCUGGUGGGGGUA
rnacentral:tRNA from 1 species